UAAACUAAUUGGCUUUAGCUUUGCAAUCAUUAAAUUUUAAACUAAUUGGCUUUAACUUUGCUAUUAUUUAACCUUAACCAAAUUGGUUUAAGGUUUGAUUUCAAUUAAUAUCAGCCAAAUUGGCUUUAUUUAUCCUUGCUUACGGGGCUGGGCUAGCCCAUUUUUUUUCUAUCCGGGCUAACCCAGCCCCGUAACCAACAUUUAAGGCCUGAGGGAGCCGAGUUGCUUCCCGGCCACUCUUUGACUUGUGCCCAUUUGCGGCCACUCUUUGACUUGCGCCCAUUUGCGGCCAUUUUGAGUUACGCUGGUUUCAGCGCUGUGCUGUUAUUUUGAAUGUGCCACAUUGGCUUUAGCUUUGCAGUCAAUUAUUGUUAAUCAAAUUGGCUUUAAUACUGAGUCCAUUCAUGUUUGUGUUAUUGAUUUCAAUUUUGCCUUGCUGUGUAUGUAAUGUGCUGAUGCUGUAAUUGUACCUUGUGCCAUGCAAUGUACUGUAUAUUUGGAUGCUGUAAUUGUACCUUGUGCCAUGCAAUGUACUGUAUAUUUGGAUGCUGCGUCUGUCAACUGUGCCGUGCCCUGUACUCAACAUGUGGAUGCUGUGCCUGUAACCCGGGAUGGACAAUUUGCUGUGCAUAUGGAUGUUGUACAUGUAAAAUGUAUUGCACAAUGUGCUCUAUGUGUUGAUGUGAUGGUUGAACAUUGUGCUGUGCCAUGUUCUCAAUGUUCAACCAUCACAUCAACACAUAGAGCACAUUGCACAAUACAUUUUACAUGUACAACAUCCAUAUACACAGCAAAUUGUCCAUCCCAGGUUACAGGCACAGCAUCCACAUGGUGAGAACAGGGCACAGCGCAGCUGACAGACGCAGCAUCCAAAUACACAGUACAUUGCAUGGCACAAGGUACAAUUACAGCAUCAGCACAUUACAUACACAGCAAGGCAAAACUGAAAUCAAUAACACAAACAUGAAUGGACUCCAGUAUUAAAGCCAAUUUGGUUAACAACAAUUGACUGCAAAGCUAAAGCCAAUGUGGCACAUUCAAAAUGGCAGCACAGCGCUGAAACCAGCAUAACUCUCAUAAUGGCCACAAAUAGGCACAAGUCAAAGAGUGGCCGCAAAUGGGCACAAGUCAAAGAGUGGCCGGGAAGCAACUCGGCUCCCUCAGGCCAUGGGCGGUGGUUACGGGGCUGGGUUAGCCCGGAUAGAAAAAAAAUGGGCUAGCCCAGCCCCGUAAGCAAGGAUAAAUAAAGCCAAUUUGGCUAAAAUAAUUUGAUUUCA
rnacentral:lncRNA from 1 species